GCCCCAGUAGCUCAGCCUGGUGGAGCAUCGCCUUGGUAAGGCGGGGGUCGCGGGUUCAAAGCCCGCCUGGGGCU
rnacentral:tRNA from 1 species